rnacentral:rRNA from 1 species
AACGAACGCUGGCGGCAUGCCUAACACAUGCAAGUCGAACGAGACCUUCGGGUCUAGUGGCGCACGGGUGCGUAACGCGUGGGAACCUGCCCUUAGGUUCGGAAUAACUCCCCGAAAGGGGUGCCAAUACCGGAUAAUGUCUUCGGACCAAAGAUUUAUCGCCUUUGGAUGGGCCCGCGUUGGAUUAGCUAGUUGGUAGGGUAAAAGCCUACCAAGGCGACGAUCCAUAGCUGGUCUGAGAGGAUGAUCAGCCACACUGGGACUGAGACACGGCCCAGACUCCUACGGGAGGCAGCAGUGGGGAAUAUUGGACAAUGGGCGAAAGCCUGAUCCAGCAAUGCCGCGUGAGUGAUGAAGGCCUUAGGGUUGUAAAGCUCUUUUACCCGGGAUGAUAAUGGCAGUACCGGGAGAAUAAGCUCCGGCUAACUCCGUG